rnacentral:misc_RNA from 1 species
GAUGAAGAACGCAGUGAAAUGCGAUACGUAAUGUGAAUUGCAGAAUUCAGUGAAUCAUCGAGUCUUUGAACGCACAUUGCGCCCCCUGGUAUUCCGGGGGGCAUGCCUGUCCGAGCGUCAUUGCUGCCCUCAAGCACGGCUUGUGUGUUGGGCCUCCGUCCCCCUCCCGGGGGACGGGCCCGAAAGGCAGCGGCGGCACCGCGUCCGGUCCUCGAGCGUAUGGGGCUUCGUCACCCGCUCUUGUAGGCCCGGUCGGCGCUUGCCGACACAUCAAUCUUUUUUCCAGGUUGACCUCGGAUCAGGUAGGGAUACCCGCUGAACUUAAGCAUAUCAAUAAGCGGAGGA